GUGCCAGACUCCUCGGGAGGCAGCAGUGGGGGAUAUUGCACAAUGGGGGAAACCCUGAUGCAGCGACGCCGCGUGUGGGAAGACGGUCCUCUGGAUUGUAAACCACUGUCCCCAGGGACGAAGAUGACGGUACCUGGGGAGGAAGCUCCGGCUAACUACGUGCCAGCAGCCGCGGUAAUACGUAGGGGGCAAGCGUUAUCCGGAUUUACUGGGUGUAAAGGGAGCGUAGACGGCAUGGCAAGCCAGAUGUGAAAUACCGGGGCUCAACCCCGGGACUGCAUUUGGAACUGUUAAGCUGGAGUGUCGGAGAGGCAGGCGGAAUUCCUAGUGUAGCGGUGAAAUGCGUAGAUAUUAGGAGGAACACCAGUGGCGAAGGCGGCUUACUGGACAGUAACUGACGUUGAGGCUCGAAAGCGUGGGGAGCAAACAGGAUUAGAUACCCCCGUA
rnacentral:rRNA from 1 species